GACGAAUCAGUCUUCCCUCCAAAGCCUCCUGGACCUGGUGAUUAUCAUCAGAGGCCCUUCUCCACGUGCCUCCUCUGAGGGAGGUUGCAGAGGGUGGCAAUCUGAAAACAAACUUUCCCAGUGGUGGUUCCCCCAUUUGUGGAUUGAUUUCCCUAGGGAAACACACCUGAAACAAUGGUUGCCAACUUCUAGGUGCCAGGUUAAGGCAUCUCAUUUGUCCAUGCUAUGGUAUGCUUUCUGCCUACUUUUGUGAUUGGUUAGUAUUAAUUCUUUUUACAGUUAUUCUUGGAUUGGCACUUUUAGGAAUUUGGUUUCAUUGCAUUUUCCCUAGAGUAUUUGGUUUCGAUUAUCAGGUUGUUCUACCUUCUAUAGAUUUGUAAGGUGCUUUGAGAUAUCUUGUCUCAGACAAAGUGAUGAAAAAAAGUAAUAGGCAAUAAUUCAGAUUUUCUUCCACACACAUUGGAGUUAACAUUACUUCUGGUAAUUUAAUCACUUGUCAAUUUUGUUCCAGGCAUUCCUGCGCAUUAACAGUGGGCAACAGCAGGCACUUUAGAACCCCCUCCUGGUGCUUUACUUUGUUGUUCCUGUGCCCUACAGUAUCAUGGAAAGUAUAUACGGUCAAUACUCUUUUAAACUGUGUUUAAAAAGGGAGGAGUGGAAGGCUACUUUCAAUGACAUCAUCUAUAUAUAUCUAUAUAUGAAAUAUAGUAUUUAAUACUAUAAAAAGGUAAAGGUAAAGGUACCCCUGCCCAUAUGGGCCAGUCGUGACCGACUCUGGGGUUGCGCACCCAUCUCGCUUAAGAGGCCAGGGGCCAGCGCUGUCUGGAGACACUUCCGGGUCACGUGGCCAGCGUGACGAAGCUGCUCUGGCGAGCCAGCACCAGCGCAGCACACAGAAACGCCAUUUACCUUCCCGCUAUAAAGCGGUACCUAUUUAUCUACUUGCACUUAGGGGUGCUUUCGAACUGCUAGGUGGGCAGGAGCUGGGACCGAAUGAUGGGAGCUCACCCCGCCGUGGGGAUUCGAACUGCCGACCAUACGAUCGGCAAGUCCUAGGCACUGAGGUUUUACCCACAGCGCCACCCGCAUCCCAUUUAAUACUAUACUUAAUAUUAUAUAAUAAAUAUAGCAAUCCAACCCCUAGUCGCCCUCUACCCCUGGUAUUCUCAAAAAUUCUUCCUAGUACAGUUAUUGGCACAUUUUCUCUUUGGUCCUUCCCAUGCAAAUGAACAAAUUAAAUUGUCCCGGGAAAAAAGAAAGUAUCUUAACUAAAACACAUGUUUUCAAAAAAAAGACAAAGGUGAUUUUCACAUAUAGAACACUUUUGAAUUGUCAACAGAGUUCUUGAAAGAAUCAGCAGGCAAUGCCUUCUUUAGGCUGUAAGAAAACAGAUUGCAUAUUUAUCACUUAUUACAGAAGCAUUUUCAAGAUAACCACUUGCACCACUGAUUCCAAUCUCUGUGAGAUGAUUCAGUAUAAUUGAUGUCUAAAUUGCUCCCUAACCUGUCUGGUGCCAGAUAUCUGAAAUAGGGCAAGGAAGUAAAACAAAUAUGGUUGUCAGAUGUAAGGCAGCUACAUCUCCCACACGUUGCAGUUCCAGAUGCACUGACAACCUGCCCAUCUAUGUGACAUUUGACAAUAUCAGCCAGCUGCUAGUGAAGCUGAGUAGGAUGUUCCAAGAAUUAGUCACAGGAAAGAGACCUUUGUUGGCUGUUCUUUUAUGCCUGGGAGCAUGAAUUUAAUGAUAUUUUGUCUUAAUUCUCUCACUAUAUAAACCAGGAGUGGGGAAACUUCAGGCCGUUGAUGUUUCUCUUUUUAAAAAAAACAUAAAUCUUUUUUUAUCAAUUUUCUCAAUAAACGAUCAUGACAUUGAAAAAGAAAAAGAAAAAGAGAGAGAAAGAAGAAAAGGGGGAAAUACACAAAAUAAAACAAUUAAAACAUCUAUAUUCACUCUUAGUAUUAAUCCAUAUUUUGGGAUUCAUCGAAUCCCCUGACUUCCCUCCACUCCCUCCCCUGGUUCCUUUGUGUUCUUCUCAUUUGUGCACGUCAACAAAAAAUCUUUAUCUCUAAUUGCUUCCUUAUUUAAACAUUCUCCAUAACAUUUCAAGUAUUGUUGUUGUUUUUUAAAAAAUUCCUGCUAAUAUAUUAACUUCCUUACAUUGCUUUUGUAUAUAUGCAAUAAACAUUUCCCACUCUUUUUUAUAUUUGUUAUUGUCUUGAUUUCUAAGUUUCCCAGUUAAUUUAGCCAUUUCAGCAUAUUCCAUUAGUUUAUUUUGCCAAUCUUCUUUAGUAGGGACUUCUCCUUUCCAGUGCUGGGCUAGCAAUAUUUGCACAGCCGUUGUUGCAUACACAAGCAGAGUUUUGUAUUCUUUUGGUAGAUCAGUUCUUCUAAUUCCUAAUAAGAAAGAUUCUGGUUGUUUAACAAAGGUUAUUUUAAACAUUUUUUUUUCCAAUUCGUUAUAUAGCAUUUCUCUUUUAUAUAUAUAUAACCUUACAUUGGCACCACAUGUGAUAAAACAUACCUUCCACUUCUUUACAUUUCCAACACUUAUUUCCCCUUGUUUUAUACAUUUUUGCUAAUUUAACUGGUGUUAAAUACCACCUAUACAUCAUUUUCAUAUAAUUCCCUUUAAAUAAUGUACACGCUGUAAAUUUUAUAUCAUCCUUCCAUAAUCAUUCCCAGUCUACCAUCAUAUUAUCUCCCACAUCUAUUGCCCACUUUGUCAUAACACACUUGACCUCUUCAUCCUUAGUUUCCCAUUCCAACAAUAUAUUGUACAUUUUUGAUAACAAUUUAUUGUCAUUUUCUAUUAUUUUUCUCUUGAAAUUUGAAAUUUCAUAAUUAAAUCCUUCCUUUUUAUCCUCUUUGAAUAUACUGUAUCAUUCAACUGGAAAUAUUGUAACCAGAUUGUUACCUUUCCUCUUAUUUUAACCCUCUUAUUUCUUGAAAUUUCUUCAAUUUAAUUGGUUAUCCUUUUCUGCUAACAGUUCUCUGUAUGUUGCCCAGUCAGGAUUCAUAUUUAAUUUUUUCAAGGAUAUUGCUUCCAGUGGGGAAGCCACCAUGGUGUUUUUUGUUCUAACAAGCCUUUAUAUUUUCCCCACACUUUAAAAAUCACAUUUCUUAUUAUAUGGAAACUUUUAUGUACUUUUGCCUUCUGAUACAAUAAAUACGCAUGCUAUCCAAAUCUAUUAUCAUGUCCUUCUAAAUCCAAUAAAUCUGUAUUUUUUUAAAUAUUAGCCAAUUCCUCAUCUAGCAAAUGCAAGAAGCUUCAUAAUAUAGCCCUUGAUGCUUCUUCAUCCGGCCUUCAAGAAUUCUCCAGACCAUGUCCUUCAUAAAUCCAGCAAUAUGCUCUCCUUCAGUGCUUUUUCCUAGUUGGGAUGUGUCAUUGAACUGUGAAAAUUCUUCCUACUUCCUUGAGUAGAGGGUGGAGGUGUGUGUGUCUGUGUGUGUGUUAUAUGUAGCCUACUGUACAAAGGAGACACACUCAUUGCUCUGCCUAGUUUUGUCUCUGAUCCCACUCAUCUUUUGCCUCUGGGUGUGUCCACCACUGACAUAUGGCCCCAAAAUUGCUGCCCACAAGGGAAUAUGGUUUUAUGUGGAAUAAAUAGUCCAUAAAAGUUAUGGUACCAUAUGUGCAGGUGGUACAGGAAGGAAAUUCAUAAGGGCCAGUGGAAAGCAACUAGAUUCAUCACAAUGAUAGAGGAUAUAUUAGCCAAUAGUUCACAGCCUACAAAUAUAAUGCAAUCUCAUUGACCUCAUGCUGCCUGGAUCAGGGCUGAUGACACUUAUGGUCCACCUUCAGCACACUUUUAAAUUGGUUGGACAGUACAGUGUAAAUAUCAAACAAAAGUAAAGCAAAAUUACCUACCUGCAUUAUGAUUCAGUGAUGAUAAUGUUUUAGGUUUUCAUGUUGACUUUGGCAUUAUUAAAAUUGUUUCCAUUUCACUGCUUUCAAAACAGUAAAAGCAGUAGAGUUCCUAUUGGCAGAGUCAACAAAUUCAUACUUGCUGUUUCAGUUGAAUUACAAAGUAUGACGUUGUAAAGUAUUAAAUUACUUGCUUUCCUAUAAUAGGCAAUUUCACAAUCUGCCCCUCCAGAUUCUCUUGGACUCCAGCUAGUUUUGCCAAUGGUCAGGGAAGAUACCAUCACUCUUGGACAAUACUGAUUAUUUGGACCCAUUCCAGUAUGGAUUCAGGUGCAGCUUUGGGGCAGAACUGGCCUUGGGCACCCUGAUUGAUGACCACUAUCAAGAAAGGGGCUAGAAGAGUGUAAUCUUUCUCCUUCUUAUUGAUCUCACCAAGGCUUUUGAUACCAAUCAUCUUCUCUACCACAUUCCUCACUUGGCUAUAGUUCCCUACAGAGGUAACCUUCCAGCAGAUGACUUAGGGAAAAGGUGCUUCAGUUAGCAAGGCAGCACUGGAGCUGUCCAUGGUCCUGUUCUUGUUUGCUCUCUGCUUUGCUUUGCCUUGCCUUGCCUACACAGGUUUAUGCUUCUCCUAUGAGCCUCAUGUUCUCAACGAGCGGGACACUAAGGAGAACUAGAAGACACAGGGACCUUAGUCCACUGCUUCCUUUAACAAUCUUAAAAUAAUAAACAAUAUUAAAACUGAACCCACAGAUGCAUCCAACAUUCAUGGAUGGAGAAACAGGAGUGGCUAUUUCAUGAAAUAUUCUCCAGGGAAGGAAUUAAAUUAUCCAACUGUUCAGGAGGAGCUCCAUGAUGAACAUUUUCAAAUAUUUGUCAGAUAAUAAUAAUAAUGAGAAAUGUAAGCUAAGUCUUGGUUAGAGUGUGUGAUUCCAACAUGUCUUAUACCCCACAAUUGUCAACUACCUUUAGGGCACUUUCCACAAUUUGAGAAACUAUGCUAUAGCCAGACAAGGCCUGCUGACUCAAUUUUCAUAUGAUGAGAUGAAUAAUUGUGUUCUAGGUUACACAAAUUAACGGAGGAUAGAUCUAUCAAAACGCUUUAAUGAGGAGCAACCAAACAUUCACUACACGUCUUUCACUACCUCUUCCACAUAAGGAAUACACAUACAUAUGAACAGUUAGCUUGCUUUCCAAAAGGAAAUCCAAAAUCCCAUUAAUUUAACAAUAUAUUUCUCUAUCAAAGUUUGUUCAGAAUGAAAGCAAAGUUAAUGUUGAAAUUUUCUCUUAAUACAUCUUAUUAGAGGAGCAUUUAUUUUCCAAAGAAAAGACCUUUGGAAAAUAGCUGUUUUGAUGUAAGUUGAAAUGAUUUUAUUCUGAUAUAUUAAAAUGCAAAUAACCUUUCCAAUAAAAGGCAGCUGCCCAGUGUUAACCGAAAGGACAGUGUGUGAAGGCCAACUGUUUAACAUUUACUGCAGAACGUCUGACCAAUAUGGCUUCAAAAGGCUGAAGAAUAAUUGGAAAUUGAGGUUUCUAGUUUUAUUUAUUGGACUUUAUGAGCUUUUUAUGUAUUUGGAUUAAACAAAGAUGUAAAACCCUGAGGUUAAUAAUGUGCAGAAAACUGAAAAUAUUUGAGUCCCCACUGAUCAACAGGUUAAUGACACCAGUGUAGACAUUAAAUGUGCAGAUAUUUUAUCUAUAACACAUUUCUAAAUAUUCUGCUAUAAAUAUUUUAUUUUAGAUUUCAUUGUCUACAUUUUUGUGCAUUUGUUUAAAAAACAUAUCGUAUUACAAGGCCUCUAAAAGUCUGCAUGUAGAUUUCUACAUCAUUCUCCAAUGUUGUGCCCUCCAGACAUUUUCGAUUAAAGCCCCAGUUAGCAAUGUGAAUGGUCAGGGAUGAUGGGUGAUGUAAUGCAAGCACUAGACUGGGGAAAAUCUCUCUUGUCGUCAUGUUCCAACGGUGUAAGCAACCCUUAUUCAGGACAGCUUAAUUUUAGAAGAAAUCAAUCAAGCAUUUAAUUAAGCUCUAUUGAAGGCAAUGGAAUGUAAGCAGCCACUCAAAAUCAAAUGUUUCUGAACUCAAAACCUAAUUAUGUAAUUUCAGAUUUGUAAACAAGGAGAUGUUUAGUUGAUUUCAGAUGUGCCUGGAACAGGUUUGUUGUUGGGGCGUAGAAGAAAUUCGGUACUGGAUGUUGCUUUGUUUCCAACUCCAUAAACUUCUUUUCCAUUUCCCCCUACUAUCCCACCAAGCAAAGUACAUCACCAGGUGUAUCAAGAAACCAUACUUUAUUAGAAAAUACUUCUUUUACAUUGCCUAUUUAAUUAUGCCUAUUUCCUUUGCCAGAAGGCGGAAGAAGCAACACGGGACCAAACUGGGACCUAGUCCUCACCAACAAGGAAGAAUUGAUUGAUGAAGUGGAGGUACUGGGAAACAGGAGAAAGUGAUUGUGUCCUUAUGGAUUUCAAGAUACAGAGGCAAGGGAAAGCUGAAUGUAGCCGGAGAUGCACUCUGGGCUUUAAGAAUGCCAACUUCAGAAAGCUUAAGGAACUACUGGUUGAGAUCCCACGGUCAGAAAUACGCAAAGAGAAGGAGUUCAAGAUGGAUGGAAGUUUCUUAAAGGUGAAAUAUUGAAGGCACAAAGACAGACAAUUCCAUCAAGAAAGUAAAGUGGGAGGCAAGCAACUAAAUAAACCAGUGUGGCUGC
rnacentral:lncRNA from 1 species